rnacentral:rRNA from 1 species
AGGAUGAACGCUGGCGGCGUGCCUAAUACAUGCAAGUCGAGCGAACGGACGAGAAGCUUGCUUCUCUGAUGUUAGCGGCGGACGGGUGAGUAACACGUGGAUAACCUACCUAUAAGACUGGGAUAACUUCGGGAAACCGGAGCUAAUACCGGAUAAUAUUUUGAACCGCAUGGUUCAAAAGUGAAAGACGGUCUUGCUGUCACUUAUAGAUGGAUCCGCGCUGCAUUAGCUAGUUGGUAAGGUAACGGCUUACCAAGGCAACGAUGCAUAGCCGACCUGAGAGGGUGAUCGGCCACACUGGAACUGAGACACGGUCCAGACUCCUACGGGAGGCAGCAGUAGGGAAUCUUCCGCAAUGGGCGAAAGCCUGACGGAGCAACGCCGCGUGAGUGAUGAAGGUCUUCGGAUCGUAAAACUCUGUUAUUAGGGAAGAACAUAUGUGUAAGUAACUGUGCACAUCUUGACGGUACCUAAUCAGAAAGCCACGGCUAACUACGUGCCAGCAGCCGCGGUAAUACGUAGGUGGCAAGCGUUAUCCGGAAUUAUUGGGCGUAAAGCGCGCGUAGGCGGUUUUUUAAGUCUGAUGUGAAAGCCCACGGCUCAACCGUGGAGGGUCAUUGGAAACUGGAAAACUUGAGUGCAGAAGAGGAAAGUGGAAUUCCAUGUGUAGCGGUGAAAUGCGCAGAGAUAUGGAGGAACACCAGUGGCGAAGGCGACUUUCUGGUCUGUAACUGACGCUGAUGUGCGAAAGCGUGGGGAUCAAACAGGAUUAGAUACCCUGGUAGUCCACGCCG